UCCAAAACCUGCUAUUUUUAGAAAGUUUUCAUUUUUUAGGAAAAUAUUGUAGAUUUGGGAUUGUGAUUUAGAAAUUAGGAUAACAAGAUUUUUUGUUGAUAAAUGGGUAUACUUUUAGGAAUUUUGAUCAAUAGGUUAUAUUUUAAAAAUAAACUUUUAAAAACUUCUAUAUUUGGAAAGUUAUCAUUUUGUAGAUAAAUAUUGUAGAUUUGAGAUUGUGAUUUAGAAAUUAGGAUAACAAGAGUUUUUGUUGAUAGACGAGUAUGCUUUUAGAAUUUUUGAUCAAUUGGUUAUUAUUUAUAAACAAAUUUUCCAAAACCUGCUAUUUUUAGAAAAUUUUCAUUUUUUAGGAAAAUAUUGGAGAUUUGGGAUUGUGAUUUAGAAAUUAGGAUAACAAGAUUUUUUGUUGAUAAAUGGGUAUACUUUUAGAAAUUUUGAUCAAUAGGUUAUAUUUUAAAAAUAAACUUUAAAAAACUGCUAUAUUUGGAAAGUUAACAUUUUGUAGAUAAAAAUUGUAGAUUUGAGAUUGUGAUUAAGAAUUUAGGAUAACAAGAGUUUUUGUUGAUAGAUUGGUAUGCUUUUAAAAUUUUCGAUCAAUAUGUUAUAUCUUGAAGAUAUAUUAUCUAAAACCAAUUAUGUUAGGAAAGUUAUCAUUUUUGUAAAAAAAUAUUGUAAAUCUGAGAUUGUGAUUUAAAAAUUAGGAUAACAAGAUUUUUUGUUGAUAGAUGAGUAUGCUUUUAGAAUUUUCGAUCAAUUGGUUAUAAUUUCUAAAUAAAUUUUUCAAAACCUGAUAUUUUUAUAAAGUUUUCAUUUUGUAGGAAAAUAUUGUAGAUUUGGGAUUGAGAUUUAGAAAUUAGGAUAACAAGAUUUUUUGUUGAUAGAUGAGUAUGCUUUUAGAAUUUUCGAUCAAUUGGUUAUAAUUUCUAAAUAAAUUUUUCAAAACCUGAUAUUUUUAUAAAGUUUUCAUUUUGUAGGAAAAUAUUGUAGAUUUGGGAUUGAGAUUUAGAAAUUAGGAUAACAAGAUUUUUUGUUGAUAGAUGAGUAUGCUUUUAGAAUUUUCGAUCAAUUGGUUAUAAUUUCUUAAUAAAUUUUCCAAAACCUGUUAUUUUUAGAAAAUUUUCAUUUUGUAGAAAAAUAUUGUAGAUUUGGGAUUGAGAUUUGGAUAUUAGGAUAACAAGAGUUUUUGUCGCUAUAUUGGCAUGCUUUUAGAAUUUUUGAGCAAUAGGUUAUAUUUUUAAAAUAAACAUUUAAAAACUGAAAAAUAAACUUUUUAAAACUGCUAUAUUUGGAAAGUUAUCAUUUUGUAGAUAAAUAUUGUAGAUUUGAGAUUGUGAUUUAGAAAUUAGGGUAACAAGAGUUUUUGUUGAUAGAUGGGUAUGCUUUUAGAAUUUUUGAUCAAUUGGUUAUAAUUUAUAAAUAAAUUUUCCAAAACCUGCUAUUUUUAGAAAGUUUUCAUUUUUUAGGAAAAUAUUGUAGAUUUGGGAUUGUGAUUUAGAAAUUAGGAUAACAAGAUUUUUUGUUGAUAAAUGGGUAUACUUUUAGGAAUUUUGAUCAAUAGGUUAUAUUUUAAAAAUAAACUUUUAAAAACUUCUAUAUUUGGAAAGUUAUCAUUUUGUAGAUAAAUAUUGUAGAUU
rnacentral:lncRNA from 1 species